UACGUAGGGGCGACGCGUUGUCCGGAUUUAUUGGGCGUAAAGAGCUCGUAGGCGGCUUGUUGCGUCGGCUGUGAAAACCCGCAGCUCAACUGUGGGCUUGCAGCUGAUACGGGCAGGCUUGAGUUCGGUAGGGGAGACUGGAAUUCCUGGUGUAGCGGUGAAAUGCGCAGAUAUCAGGAGGAACACCGGUGGCGAAGGCGGUUCUCUGGGCCUUACCUGACGCUGAGGAGCGAAAGCGUGGGGAGCGAACAGG
rnacentral:rRNA from 1 species